UCACAUUGCGUUGAAUUAAUUAAUUGGUUUAAGAUUUGUCCUUUCCGGACAAAACCCACUUCACCAUUUUCUCAUCUGUUUCCAUCACACCUAACCAAGCCCCCGUCAUUCUUUUCCUCCACACUGUUUCCUCCACUCACUGGUGGGCUUUUCCAAGUCAACCGUUUAUCAUUUCAGCUAAAACCCACCUAUUCCCAACACCUCUCUCUCUCUCUCUCUCCCAAUCUCCGCCAAUGGGUAGCCCAUUUAGCAAAACAAGAAGCGGAGACGGCGGUAGUAGCAGCGGCAGCGGCAGCAGUGGCGGCGGCUCAACUAACCCGACAACCCACCUGAACUCAAACUCCCCCGAUCUAACCUCCUACGAGGCCGCAUGCCAGCUCGACCCAGACCUCCAAUCCUUCGACGCCACCCUCAAGCAACGCACCAGCCACGUCAUAAGCACCCUCGCCGUCGGCGUCGAGGUCCGCUCUCUCUCCUUGGACUCCCUCCGCGAAGUAACCGAGUGCCUCCUCGAAAUGAACCAAGAAGUCGUCAACGUAAUCCUAGAUUGUAAAAAGGACAUUUGGAACAACAAGGAUCUGUUCGAUCUGGUCAAGGACUACUUCGAGAGCAGCCUUUUGACCCUGGACUUCUGCACUUCCCUCGAGAAGUGCCUCAAACGGGCUCGAGACAGCCAGCUCAUCGUUCAGGUCACGCUCCAGCAGUUCGAGCGCGACUUGAAUGAUGAGGAAAGGAAAAACUCUUGUUUUUCGCGAACCGUGCAGGAAUUGAGGAACUUUAAGGCCAAGGGGGACCCGUUCACGGACGAGUUCUUCGAGCUGUUUAAAUCGGUCCACAAGCAGCAGAUGUUGAUGUUACGGAAGCUGGAGACUAAAAAGGGGAAGCUUGAUAAGAAGCUGAAGUCCAUAAAGUCGUGGAGGAGAGUGUCCAAUGUGAUAUUUGCGGUUACUUUCGCCGCGGUUUUGAUUUGCUCGGUGGUGGCGGCGGCCGUUGCAGCGCCUCCGGUGGUGACGGCGCUGGCUGCGGCGGCCGCGGUGCCAUUGGGGUCGAUGGGGAAGUGGUUUAAUUCUUUGUGGAAGAAGUACGAGAAUGAGGUGAGAGGAGAGAGGGAGAUUAUCAGUUCGAUGCAAAUUGGGACUUACAUUGCUAUCAAGGACUUCGAUAACAUCCGGGUACUUGUUGAUAAGUUGGAAAUUGAGAUGGAGUCGUUGUUGCGGAAUGCGGAUUUCGCUAUCAGGGAAGAGGAAGAGGCUGUGGUUCUGGUAAUAGACGAGAUCAAGAAGAAGCUGAGUGGGUUUAUGCAAACAAUUGAUGAUUUGGGGGAACAUGCUGACAAGUUCAGCAGAGAUAUUAGGAGGGCUAGGACUGUCAUUUUGCAAAGGAUUAUCAGGCAUCCCACCGUCAACAAUUGAAAUACAGCUUUGGUAGAGUUGGCACAGAAUGGAGAUUUGAUAGCAUGAAUCCUCCCAUGAGGGCGGCCGAAUUGAGCAAAUGACAUGCUACAAAUCUCAUUCACUCCUGUUUCCAGUAAGCCCAUGUCGUCUGUACGAUCCAGAUUAAGCUUGAUAUACGCAAUAGAAUUUGCACUCUCAUUUGUAUAAUUACUAGAGUCUAGCUCCUCUCCAAAGUCCAAUCCACAAGCCCAUUUUAAUGAUCGGGACUGUUAACAUUUUUGAACUCAUCAAGAGCACCAAGCACGACAAAAAUCAAGUUGAUCGCAU